UCCUCAGGAAGCAUCUGACCGAUCGGAACAUCAUGGCUCUUUCCAGUAUCGUGUGAUGGUUGUGCUUGAAUCUUCCCCACAAAGGGAGCCUCAGACUAUGCUACAGCAUAAUUACAUACAUAUUAUCUGCAUGUGUUACCCUUUGAAGGCAUUUUAGUACCAAGGAGCAGACCUGCUAAAUAACCAGGCCCAGAUCUCAGAGCUAUUCUGGUCGAGACCAUGGAAGCAUCAUCACUGGCACCACUUCUGAUCACAGUGGAGGGAGACAGCAUAAAACAGACAUGAAGAACAACCCUACUGAUGAGUAAGAAGAAAAAUUACACCUUCUGGACUACAAGCAAGAAACUACAGAACUAAACUCUGUACCAAGUCGCUAUCACAGCCCAGGCUUAGGUAAGUGAAGUUGUCUUCAAGUAUUUAAUCCUUGAUUUGGUUUCCUUUAAGGGGUGUCCUUGCUCUCGGACAUCUGCUGACUGUUCCUACAAAAUGACAUCAGUUAUUCUAGUGAAAUACUUGGCUGCACAUAUCUUGUGAGGAUGGGGUUAAUUUCUAAUACAUGGACUAUAUAUAGGUGAUAUGCCUACAUCUAAGCAUUCACUGAUGUUAAGCAUUUCACGGUUUAGAGUAUUUGUUGCUGAAUUCUUUGUUAGAAACUGUUAGUUAACAUGACUGCACAAGACCAUCACCAAGUUCUUUUCUUUCGAGUGUUGCGCUGCCCUGAAGAUGUUAUUGAUGUAUAAAUCACUUAAAGCCAUGCAUGAGUUGUACAGAAAACAGCCUUAAGAAAGCU